rnacentral:rRNA from 1 species
AUUGAACGCUGGCGGCAGGCUUAACACAUGCAAGUCGAGCGGGGUGAUGGUGCUUGCACUAUCACUUAGCGGCGGACGGGUGAGUAAUGCUUAGGAAUCUGCCUAUUAGUGGGGGACAACAUCUCGAAAGGGAUGCUAAUACCGCAUACGUCCUACGGGAGAAAGCAGGGGAUCACUUGCGACCUUGCGCUAAUAGAUGAGCCUAAGUCGGAUUAGCUAGUUGGUGGGGUAAAGGCCUACCAAGGCGACGAUCUGUAGCGGGUCUGAGAGGAUGAUCCGCCACACUGGGACUGAGACACGGCCCAGACUCCUACGGGAGGCAGCAGUGGGGAAUAUUGGACAAUGGGGGGAACCCUGAUCCAGCCAUGCCGCGUGUGUGAAGAAGGCCUUAUGGUUGUAAAGCACUUUAAGCGAGGAGGAGGCUCUUUUGGUUAAUACCCAGAAUGAGUGGACGUUACUCGCAGAAUAAGCACCGGCUAACUCUGUGCCAGCCGCCGCGGUAAAAC